ACGAGUUUUGAAAGUGGGAUUGAUGCUGGCCUCCCGAGGCAUGUGCUCGUCCUCGCUCAUCCACUCAUUUAACCCCUGUGCACUGUUGAGGUGUGGUCCCCCUUCGAUGGAGCCGUUCCCCCCUCCCUCUCCGGGGGGGUCGAGCCGGGGCCAGACCUUCUUUGUAUAUCACUAACAACUUGAAAUGUCUAUUCGGAAUGUGAUGUUUUAUGUUAAUGAAACAAUA
rnacentral:misc_RNA from 1 species